CAGAGAGGAAGCGCUUUUAUUUUGUAGCAUUUUCGUGCAUUUCCUCUUCAGGCAGCAGACAUGAGAAGAGCAGGAGUCGGGAGACCAAUUGACCCUCAGCUCUGCACCAUUGAGGUGAAUGUUGCUGCAACAAAUAUGACUUGGCACUACUAUAGUUAUGUCCUGCCCACCUGUGAAAGAGCUGAUGGACCUCUGGCCUGCUCUUCAUAUGCCAUCUGAGGUCAUGUGGAUCAUUUCUUUCAUCUGUUUUUAUCUUUGCCGGUGUAUGCAAACCAGAACUUUCCUAACAUUGCCACACUCCUCGUUUAAUGGCCUUAUUUAGACAGAAAGCUUCCUAAACUGGAAAGACUGCAGAUGCUUUGGCUGACAUGUUCAAAGUCCAUGAUGCACAGGAAUGACAUGAUGUCCACACAAAAUGUACCACUGUUCUCCAUGCCCUUCCUGUCUAUCUACGAGAGGAAGUCUCUGGAUUUUUCAGGACAUGUGUGGAUGAUAUGGAUGACCCAGACCUGGAGGAUGCAGCAGUGGUCCUCCUGACAAUCGUCAGUGAUGAAGCCACGAGUCCAGUUAACUACGACCCAGUGAGAAUCGCUGUCAUCCUAGAGGAUGAUGUGGUGGUCGACCUCCCCAGGCUUCCUGAUACCUUCCUGGUUGUGAAAAUGAUGAUCAUCGUCUUGGUGACCUUUGCCCUCUGCUGGCUGCCUUAUCACAUCUACUUCAUUGUGACGGGUCUCAAUAAGCAGCUGAUCAAGUGGAAGUCCAUCCAGCAGGUGUACCUGUCGGUGCUGUGGCUGGCCAUGAGCUCCACCAUGUACAACCCCAUCAUCUACUGCUGCCUCAACAGCAGGUUUCGGGCCGGCUUCAAACGAGUAUUCCGCUGGUGUCCUUUCAUCAAGGUGUCCAGCUACGACGAGCUGGAGCUGCGCUCCACCCGCCAGCACCCGACCCGGCAGAGCAGCAUGUACACGCUCUCCCGAAUGGACACCACCAUGGUGGUGGUGUACAACCCCGCUGAGGGCGAGGGCGGGGCCGGCGGGGGUGGCUCCGGCAGGAAGUGGUCCAUGUCCUCCAGGAAGAGGAGCUACAUCACGUCUCGCCACACUCCCGCUGGCAGCAGCAGCGGGAGUGUGAAAAUGCAAAAUGGAGGCGUGGCGAGUUCGCAAGUUGAGGAGUUCUCUUGAGCGGCGUGAGAACCUUGCAUGUGACGCUUGUACACAAUACAUACUCUGUACAUACAAACCAGGCACAUUUGUGUAGAGCAGGGCCAGGGGCCCCGGAAUGACACCAUACCGGCCCCUGAGUUUGAAACUUUUUGCAGCAAAUUCCUAAAAAACAUGAGAAUGCUCCCGUUGUAUGCCAACUUGGACCACUGUUUUCUUGCAUUCACAUUUGAACCUUGCUAGCAAACGUGUUGUUUACAUAACUGAGGCGUUCCUCAAGGCACCCCUUUGAGUCCGCUACAAAUGUGACUUAUGGAACCAAGGUGUUGCUUGUUUACUUCACAUGCAGCCAGUAAGUCAACGUCUUUAGUUAAACUAGCGGUGUUCCUCAAGGUUCUGUUUUAGGUCCUCACGUUUUCAUCAUUUAGGCCUAUAGGUGUCAAACAUUUAGGCCAAUAGGUGUCAAACAUUUAGGCCUAUAGGUGUCAAACAUUUAGGCCUAUAGGUGUCAAACACUUAAGUGUCAAACAUUUAGGCCUAUAGGUGUCAAACAUUUUCGUCAUUUAAGCCUAUAGGUGUCAAAACAUUUAGGCCUAUAGGUGUCAAACAUUUAGGUGUCAAACAUUUAGGCCUAUAGGUGUCAAACAUUUAGGUGUCAAACAUUUAGGCCUAUAGGUGUCAAACGUUUUCAUCAUUUAGGCCUAUAGGUGUCAAACAUUUAGGCCUAUAUGUGUCAAACAUUUAGGCCUAUAGGUGUCAAACAUUUAGGUGUCGAACAUUUAGGCCUAUAGGUGUCAAACAUUUAGGUGUCAAACAUUUAGGCCUAUAGGUGUCAAACACUUAAGUGUCAAACAUUUAGGCCUAUAGGUGUCAAACGUUUUCAUCAUUUAGGCCUAUAGGUGUCAAACAUUUAGGCCUAUCAGUGUGAAACAUUUAGGUGUCAAACAUUUAGGCCUAUAGGUGUCAAACACUUAAGUGUCAAACAUUUAGGCCUAUAGGUGUCAAACGUUUUCAUCAUUUAGGCCUAUAGGUGUCAAACACAUAGGUGUCAAACAUUUAGGCCUAUAGGUGUCAAACAUUUAGGUGUCAAACAUUUAGGCCUAUAGGUGUCAAACAUUUAGGUGUCAAACAUUUAGGACUAUAGGUGUCAAACGUUUUCAUCAUUUAGGCCUAUAGGUGUCAAACAUUUAGGCCUACAUGUGUCAAAUGUUUUCAUCAUUUAGGCCUAUAGGUGUCAAACAUUUAGGCCUAUCAGUGUCAAUCAUUUAGGCCUAUAGGUGUCAAACAUUUAGGCCUAUAGGUGUCAAACAUUUAGGCCUAUAGGUGUCAAAUGUUUUCAUCAUUUAGGCCUAUAGGUGUCAAACAUUUAGGCCUAUCAGUGUCAAACAUUUAGGCCUAUAGGUGUCAAACAUUUAGGUGUCAAACAUUUAGGCCUAUAGGUGUCAAACACUUAAGUGUCAAACAUUUAGGCCUACAGGUGUCAAACAUUUAGGUGUCAAACAUUUAGGCCUAUAGGUGUCAAACGUUUUCAUCAUUUAGGCCUAUAGGUGUCAAACAUUUAGGCCUAUAUGUGUCAAAUGUUUUCAUCAUUUAGGCCUAUAGGUGUCAAACAUUUAGGUGUCAAACAUUUAGGCCUAUAGGUGUCAAAUGUUUUCAUCAUUUAGGCCUAUAGGUGUCAAACAUUUAGGCCUAUAGGUGUCAAACACUUAAGUGUCAAACAUUUAGGCCUAUAGGUGUCAAACGUUUUCAUCAUUUAGGCCUAUAGGUGUCAAACAUUUAGGUGUCAAACAUUUAGGCCUAUAGGUGUCAAACAUUUAGGUGUCAAACAUUUAGGCCUAUAGGUGUCAAACGUUUUCAUAAUUUAGGCCUAUAGGUGUCAAAUAUUUAGGCCUAUAGGUGUCAAACAUUUAGGCCUAUAGGUGUCAAACGUUUUCAUCAUUUAGGCCUAUAGGUGUCAAACAUUUAGGUGUCAAACAUUUAGGCCUAUAGGUGUCAAAUGUUUUCAUCAUUUAGGCCUAUAGGUGUCAAACAUUUAGGUGUCAAACAUUUAGGCCUAUAGGUGUCAAACAUUUAGGCCUAUAGGUGUCAAACAUUUCGGUGUCAAACAUUUAGGCCUAUAGGUGUCAAAUGUUUUCAUCAAACUCAAAGCCUGGGGGCCAGAAUUGGCCCACCACAUCAUUUCAUGUGGCCCCGCGAAAGUUUGGAAAUAAUGGGCGUCAACAAAGAACUUCAUUAUUCUUGCUAAAUGUAUUUGUUCUUUGGAUUUUAAAAGAAAAAUUGCAUGACUUUUAAAAUGUAAACCAAAUGUUAUGGGUUGUAAACCUUUGGGCAUCACAUUAUUCGAAUUGAUUCGAUUCUUGGGGAUAAGGAUUUGAUUCAGAAUCCAAAACAAUUGAGUUGAAUAUCCCCACUGAAGAGUAAAAAGUACCUAGACAAGUAGUACAACAAUGAUCAUGAAAGUUUGGCUCCCAUCACUUCCAACAUGUCGCCUGCACGAGUAAAUUCCUGCUCCGCCUUAACGCUUUUAUCACUAAUUAACAUCUAACCAUUAAUUGCGCCCUCAUUUUCAGAAGGUCUCGGCCCCGUGGUUGCAAUUAUGGCUGUUAAAACUCUUAUUUGUUGGUUCUGCUUGAGUUUAACGCUGCGCAUGCUCGGAUGGCUUUGUGUUUCUCAGAAGGAGCCAUGUGUCGCGUUUGUAAAUAUGUCCCUUUUUUGUCCAAGUCAUUGAAACAACGUUGAGAACCUGUUGAAUUAGGUCCUGACGUUGAGCACCUCAAACAUAACGUUGAAACAACAUGCUUUUUGACUACGUUUAAUCAACGUUGGCUUCUGACGUUGAUUUGAACAUUGAAUUUUGGUCAUUUCCCAACCAAUAUUCUAUAACACAAAUACAACAUGCUUUUUGACUACGUUUAUUCAAUGUUGGGUUGUGACGUUGAUUUGACCUUUGAAAUUUGGUCAUGUUCCAACCAAUAUUCUACAACACAAAUACAACGUUGAAACAACAUGCUUUUUAAUGACUUUUAUUCAAUGUUGGGUUCUGACGUUGAUUUGAACAUUGAAUUUUGGUAAUUUCUGUUAUGUUUACCAGGAGGGAGUUGACGGCACAGACACUAGGGGGCAGUAAAGCACUAUGAUUUAUUAUAUAUAUAGGCAAUAUAUAUAUAAUAAUCAAACAAUAUUAACCAAUAACUAUAGAGUGGUGUGAGUGACAAAAUCCAAGAGUGUGUGUGAGGCUAUGUGUGUGGUUAGCUGUAGUGUGUGUUACUAAGUGUUGUGUUGAGCGAGAGGAGGGACAAAGCAGGAAGGCAGUCCGUGGUCAUGUGAGAGGUCGAGAUCCAAGGGAGGCAGUCCAGAAUCCAGAGGGGAACAACAGGGGAUCACAACAGGAAAACUCGGGAACGAACUGCGGGAGGACAACACGGACAUCAGACACGGAGGGGAAACGCAGAGAGAGAGAACAUAAAGCUGGAGUCGGCUUACGGUACACCAUAGAGGAUUAAGUUCCCGCGAGGAUCCUAGGGUCCACUGGUCCUUAUACCGCUCGCCCUCAUCAGUCCCAGGUGUGCAGAUUGCUGAUCGCAGUCUCGGCGCGCUGCCAGCGGAGGUGCUGGCAGACCCAGCUGCCGGGGAAAAGCGGGUUCGAGCCCGCGCCGUGACAAUUUCCCAACCGAUAUUCUACAACAUUGAAACAACAUGCUUUUUGCCGACAUUUAAUCAAUGUCAGGUUGAUGUUGAUUUGACCAUUGAAUUUUGGUCAUUUUCCAAACAUUUGAAAACUAUUUUGCAACCUUGUUUCAAUGUCAGUUUUAAAGGACAUGUACGUACAAUCAACGUUGUACGUACAUGCAGCACAGCACUGUGCCUGCUGGGUCAGUAUUAACUGAACUUCACUGUGGGGGCGGGGAAUACUUAUUUAAUCCACUAUUGAUUUUGUAAGUUUACCCCUUUACAAAUACAUUAUGGCAUGGGGUGUCCAAAGUGUGGCCCUGGGGCCAUUUGCGGCCCACAGUUAUUUUUUUAAUGGCCCACGGCACAUUUUUUUAAAUACUAUACCAAAAAAGAAAAAAAGUGGGAUAAAAAACAAACAGGUGACUUGUAAGAGAAAAUGUUGCAAUAAUGGCGAUAAUAACACGAAGUUGCCAUGCAGUCAGUUUUUUACUUUAAAACUGUCAUAGCUCGUAAAUAUGAAG